UACGUAGGGUGCGAGCGUUAAUCGGAAUUACUGGGCGUAAAGCGUGCGCAGGCGGUUCGUUGUGUCGGCGGUGAAAGCCCCGGGCUCAACCUGGGAAUGGCCGUUGAAACUGGCGAACUGGAGUGUGGCAGAGGGGGAUGGAAUUCCGCGUGUAGCAGUGAAAUGCGUAGAUAUGCGGAGGAACACCGAUGGCGAAGGCAAUCCCCUGGACCUGUACUGACGCUCAUGCACGAAAGCGUGGGGAGCAAACAGG
rnacentral:rRNA from 1 species